CCAGAACUUCCGCCGCCGCGACCGCCGCCGUAGGAUCCGCCUCCGGAACUAAGAGGGGUGAGGGUCGUAAGCAGUGAUCUUCUAACAUUGGAAAACGGUGUUUCCCUCUCCGAGUCUGACCACUGUCCAAUCCACAGUCGGCCUGCAAAAUAUGAAUGAAUGAAAGAAGAGAGUUGGAAGUUGGAAAUUGGCCAGUGAGGAGGAAAACAUGGCUUUGCAGGAGAGUAAGGGGCGGGGGAAGCUGUUGAGUCUGACUGCUUUGUAAUGAACUAUGCCAUCAGUUUUUCACUGGAUGAUACUUUAAUUUCUGACUUCAUUCUUUUUUUCCUAUAUCCACCAACUCACUAUUUUUUGUUGCUUUGGCCAUAUCUGAUGUAUUUCUUUCUCUAAUAUCACUGCAAACCUCUAAUCCGGCUUUCAUCACUUUUCUCAGGAUUACUUCACCAGCUUCUGAAGUUUUUUUUUUUUUUUGGCUCAUCACUAUGUCAAUUAAGUUCUAUCCUGUUCACUGUGGCAUGAUUAGUAAUGUUAUUAAAAAAGUAUUGUCAUCACUUCAUCAGCAUUCUCAAGCCUCUGUGGAUGGAUUAAGUCUUUUCUAUAAUGUUGCUCGAUAUUUCAGCCUCAUGCCCCUGCAGUAAGGGUGGUAGAGUGGAAGGAGUGCUGUAGUCUCCUCAGGAGGUGAUUAUGUGGCCUUGAGCAAGACGCUCAGCCUUUCUGUGUCUCAGCUUAUUGUCCCAUAAAAUAUGGAUAACACUAAUAUUAAAUAUUAAAAUAUAUAUGGUGAUAAUAAAUAAUUAUAAUCUGUGAUCCAAGGGAAAAUGUUAGCAUUUCCUUAAAAAAAUCCUUUAAUUAUAAGCAGACCUUUCUUUUCGCUCUGGACCAAGAUAUUAUGCUUUGUUCCAUUUAGGAUCUUUUUUGCUCUUGGUGAGGAGUGCCUUUCUUCCAUUUUGCUGGCUUAUUCAAAUCAUUCUACCUGAGCUUCAAACUCAAGCUUAAACAUCAUCUCCUUCAUGGGAUUUCUCAUCAUUAGUCUAGUUCAUGGCCAUCUCUUUCUUCCCGUUUCCUGUGUUGUACAUCUGACUAUUUUAUAAUAUGUUAUAAUACUCAUUAUUGUUCCUAAUGCAACAUGGUCCUUAACUUCCUCCAUAGAAGGGAGGGUGCCUUAUAGUCUUCCUGCACUACUGGGUACUCAUUGUUCUCUGAAUAUUUUCAUAUCACUUUGUGCCUUUUCCCACUUUUUUUCUUCGACUUUAUUUUGUUCUCUCAACUUUUGUCCUAUACAUUUUGCUAUUGCCCAAAAUUUAAACAAAGACUGGUUGAAUACAACUAAAUUAAUUUUGCUUUGAAAGAAAUGAUGCUUUUAUAAUUGAGGACAUUGUGUGAAAAUGCUAAGAAAUCUAAGAUUCUAUAUAGGAGUUUUGACAUAUCUUAAAGAAUAUAAAAAUAUACCUAGAAUAAAUAUACUUUAUAUAUGUUAUGUUUCACAAAGAAAACAUUUUGACUUUCUCUUUUUCUUCUUCAUUAAUGGUCAUUUUUCAGCUAUGGAUUUACUGAGAUGAUCUUGAGGCUAGUAAACCAUUAAAAUCUGUGGUUCCAGUCUAAAAUUUGAUUUUCAUAUAUUAGGAGAAUAGACAGUUCUGGUUGGGUUUCUGGUUAGCUAGCCUAUAAGUAUGGUGUAAUUUAAGGAUAAAAUAUAACAUGACUUAACUUUUAAAUUUCAUUGACCUGUCAUAGGUUUCUGUUUUUGGUUAAGUUCAUUCUGUGAAAGACAAUUUCUCAAUACAAAUAACCUGCAUUAGGAGAAGUUAUUGAUAUAGAAUAGAAAGCAGAAAUAUAAUACUCUUUUUAGUUUUUAUAUAAAAUAGUAAAACUGAAAGUACUAAACCAACCAACCAAUCAAACUCUGCAGACCCCAGUGUUAACUAUUGAAAUUAAACAUUGUCAAAAAUUCAGUGGCUUUUUUUUCUCCCUCAUAAAUAAAAAAAUUCCUUUAGAUCCAGUUGUGUUUUUCAUCCAAAUCAAUAAUUUCACAGAUGGCUGCCAAUGGACCAUUGGCACAUUUGGAUAUAACUUCUUAUUAAUUUUUAGCUAGGGAGUUUGGGCCAAUCUAAAUAGAAUGGAGAAAAUUUUAGAUUAGAAAUGGUGCACACUGAGGUUAAAGUUUAUAGAGAAAGUAAUAAUCCCCUACUCUGAUGACUUUAUAUGUGAUAUUUUUACAUUUAAGGGAAAAGUCUUAUGAAGUUAAAUUAAUGUCUUAAUUUUAUUGUUUAGAGAUUUUAAAAAAUGCUUCAUAACAAAUGAAACUCCUUCUUUGAAUCACUUUGGAGAGGUUGGAAUUGCAGAGGAAUAGAUGUAAAUAAUUAUUUAAAUAUAACAUAUGGUAAAGGGGAAAUUUAUCAUAAUCUUUUUGGCUCCUCAGGGCUGAUGAUUGACAAUGCCCAAAGACCAUUUAAUUUCUUGGAUUACACAGAUAACAUUGCAAAGUUAGUCCUAAGAUUGAGUUUAUAGAGCUAUUGAGACUUUUUUAUGUUCCAGGGCCUGCUAAGAACUUACCUGCAUUUUUCUCAUCAAAUCCUGAUAUCAGCUUUAUGAGGUAGCUUUUUAAAAAAGUUAUGAAAGUAAGUAAUUUUCCCCAAAUUAUUUCAUAAAGGGCUCCACUGGGAUUUGAACACAGGUUGAUAAGGGUGAUGAUAGUUGCCCAUGGUGAGAUUAUUAUCAUAUCCAGACCUUUGUAAAUAGUCCUUUUAUUAAACUCCUUGACUUCCCGUAAGUUGAGUGUGCCAGAUGUUUCUGAGCCUUUGCUUUAGUACAAUGACUCUUAAAACUCUUUUGAAGUAACCUGAAAUUGUAUUUUCCAACAUUGUGACUUAGAAAAUUAACAAGUACAUAAGGGAUUUUAUUUCCCUUUUCAGGGUGGACAAGCUUUCCUUAUUAUCAUUGUUUUGUGAUUAAAAAUACACUAAUAUAAAAGAAAAAGAACUAAUGAGACUAGAUUUCCUGCCCUUGAAGAGGUUAGGCAUAUAGGUCUUGCCUGUACCCAGCCUAGUCUCUGCCCCAACUUCCUGAGGGUUCCUUUUGCUUGGAUUUCUGGAGGUUCCUAACUUUGUCAGGAUUGUCCUUGGUCCCAGCAUAGUCAUUUAAAUAAAUCACAGCAAUUAGCCCCAUGCAUAACUGCACUGUUAAUCCUUUUAUGCAACUGGCUUUUCCAGGUGCUGCAAUACCCAUUAUGGAGAUUAAUUCCUUUUCAUCAGGUUUUUACUCUAAGUCCUAGGGAAUACAAUGGUGAACUCAGGAUAUAUAUCUGAAUUAAUUCAAUAGUGAAUUAUAACAGGAAGAGGUUCUAUUGCUUUGAAAUUCUCCAACUUCCAUAUAUUCAAAAGCUAUCAAACUUUUUUGGGUCUUUCACAGAUGUUUCCCUUAUUGAUCAUUUUGGUUAAAGGGGAGCUAAGUAGAAUUUUCUGGUCUUAAAAUGUAAAUAAAUAAGUGGACAUUUAUAGAGCUGUAAGAUGUUAGACUUUUAAAAUUAAUUAAUUAGCUAGUUGAUUGAAAUUGUUUUCAAGAAUAAAGACCCCACAGUCUAUAUUGGGAUGGAUUGUAACAUUCUAUCACAUUGAUACCACCAAGGUGCUCUAAGCAGAAUAGCAUGAAUAACAAGAACUUUCAUCACUAAUGUUUAUUUAACAUUUGUUGUGCCAGACACUGGGUUAAGGGCUUUAUGUACAUUUUCUCAUGUAACCCACUUUAUUCUGUAAACCAGAUACUAUUCCUUAUAUACAGAGGAGGGAAUUGACACUUAAUAGUGGUUAUAUGGUAUACACAGAGUAAUACAACUAAUAAGUUAGUAGCCAAGCCAGAAUUCACACCAGACUGUCUGUCUCUAGGUCUUACAUUCUUUACCAUGAUCUUUCAAUGGUGGAUAUUUAAUUAGACUUGGAUUUGUGGUUUAAAGGCUGUCCAGAAAUGCAAAUAACAGUGGUAUGGGUGGAAUCUGUUAUUAUAGCAGGUCUGUUUUAGUAUAGGCUGACAUUUCCUAUGUAUAAAUGAACUAAAUGGAAUUUUAAGGUAAAAAUUUAAAGAAUGCUUUUCUUUGUUUAGCUUAUUUUUUAUAUGCCCUUCAAUCUUAUGGGACUCUCACUGGCCCUGGAUUUCAUAAAUGUCAUGCAUGCCUCAUGAUCAGAGGUCCUUUUAAGUGCACUGUCCGAGCAUGCAUUGAUCCUAGAUAUCUAUGCAGACUUGAAACUGGAUAGAGUUGCCUUUGGACAAAAUGGUGAAGCUGUUGAAGUUUGUCAUUGGUGUCUCCAACUCUAUUCUUUCUUUCUCUUCUCUAGGUUGAAAUAUGUCUGCACUUCCUGGAGCUAUGACUUUUUGUGCUUUAACUUCUUUUUUUCCUCUGUGUAGGGAGGAUAUAUGAUAUUGUUCAUCCAUACUAAUAGAAACAUAACUACCAUAUGUUGUUUUGGGAACCUU